GAUGAACGCUGGCGGCGUGCCUAAUACAUGCAAGUCGAGCGAACGGACGAGAAGCUUGCUUCUCUGAUGUUAGCGGCGGACGGGUGAGUAACACGUGGAUAACCUACCUAUAAGACUGGGAUAACUUCGGGAAACCGGAGCUAAUACCGGAUAAUAUUUUUGAACCGCAUGGUUCAAAAGUGAAAGACGGUCUUGCUGUCACUUAUAGAUGGAUCCGCGCUGCAUUAGCUAGUUGGUAAGGUAACGGCUUACCAAGGCAACGAUGCAUAGCCGACCUGAGAGGGUGAUCGGCCACACUGGAACUGAGACACGGUCCAGACUCCUACGGGAGGCAGCAGUAGGGAAUCUUCCGCAAUGGGCGAAAGCCUGACGGAGCAACGCCGCGUGAGUGAUGAAGGUCUUCGGAUCGUAAAACUCUGUUAUUAGGGAAGAACAUAUGUGUAAGUAACUGUGCACAUCUUGACGGUACCUAAUCAGAAAGCCACGGCUAACUACGUG
rnacentral:rRNA from 1 species